rnacentral:rRNA from 1 species
UACAGGGGGGGCAAGCGUUGUUCGGAAUUACUGGGCGUAAAGGGGCUGUAGGCGGCCAACUAAGUCCGACGUGAAAUCCCAAAGCUUAACUUUGGAACUGCGUCGGAUACUGGAUGGCUUGAAUUCGGGAGAGGGAUGCAGAAUUCCAGGUGUAGCGGUGAAAUGCGUAGAUAUCUGGAGGAAUACCGGUGGCGAAGGCGGCAUCCUGGACCGACAUUGACGCUGAAAGCCGAAAGCUAGGGGAGCAAACGGG